rnacentral:lncRNA from 1 species
GAGGAGAUAUAUCAAAAGACUUUAUUUACAAUAGAGAAAUUUUACAAAUAUAGUUUUUAAAAAUUAUGUGCCAAUCUAUUAUGUUUCCCAUAACAUUAGAGAUUUAUAUAAAGUUGAAAAUGACACAGUGGAUUUAAGUACAAAUAAAAAACAAUGGGAAGAACUACUGGUACACAUGAAGGUGUCAUGACAAACAUCACUGAAGUUCUGUAAACUGCCAUAUAACUUACAUGUGUGUCACACAAUGUAUACCAAACAUGUGCAGAAACAAAAUUAAGUGCUAUUUUAAUUAUUCACCUUUUGGGAUGUGAAAACAUAUGUAAACAUAAUUGCACAGUUUUUGCUGAAAAUGAACAAAAGACAGCCUCUACCUAAGGACUUCAGUUGUACAGUCCUAUGUGUUCAUACAACCUGACUUUAAUAUCCUAUCUGCUGCAG